rnacentral:rRNA from 1 species
GACGAACGCUGGCGGCGUGCUUAACACAUGCAAGUCGAGCGGUAAGGCCCUUCGGGUACACGAGCGGCGAACGGGUGAGUAACACGUGGGUGACCUGCCCUUAGCUCUGGGAUAAGCCUGGGAAACUGGGUCUAAUACCGGAUAUGACCUCAUGACGCAUGUUGGUGGGGUGGAAAGCCUUGUGCGGCUAGGGAUGGGCCCGCGGCCUAUCAGCUUGUUGGUGGGGUGAUGGCCUACCAAGGCGACGACGGGUAGCCGGCCUGA